UGGGUGACCUGCCCCCAACUCUGGGAUAAGCCCGGGGAAACCGGAGCUAAUACCGGAUACGAACCACCCAGGCAUCUAGGUGGUUGGAAAGAACUUCGGUCAAGGAUGGGCUCGCGGCCUAUCAGCUUGUUGGUGCGGUAACGGCCCACCAAGGCGACGACGGGUAGCCGGCCUGAGAGGGCGACCGGCCACACUGGGACUGAGACACGGCCCAGACUCCUACGGGAGGCAG
rnacentral:rRNA from 1 species